rnacentral:rRNA from 1 species
UACGUAGGGGGCAAGCGUUGUCCGGAAUUAUUGGGCGUAAAGAGCGCGUAGGCGGUCCGAUAAGUCGGCUGUGAAAGUCAGGGGCUCAACCCUUGAAAGCCGGCCGAUACUGUCGGACUAGAGUCCGGAAGAGGCAAGUGGAAUUCCCGGUGUAGCGGUGAAAUGCGCAGAUAUCAGGAAGAACACCUAUGGCGAAGGCAGCUCUCUGGGACGGUACUGACGCUGAGACGCGAAAGCGUGGGGAGCGAACAGG